AACCGUGUACGUACAAGCAGUGGGAGCACCCUUUGGGUGUGACUGCGUACCUUUUGUAUAAUGGGUCAGCGACUUAUAUUCUGUAGCAAGGUUAACCGAAUAGGGGAGCCGGAGGGAAACCGAGUCUUAACCGGGCGUUAAGUUGCAGGGUAUAGACCCGAAACCCGGUGAUCUAGCCAUGGGCAGGUUGAAGGUUGGGUAACACUAACUGGAGGACCGAACCGACUAAUGUUGAAAAAUUAGCGGAUGACCUGUGGCUGGGGGUGAAAGGCCAAUCAAACCGGGAGAUAGCUGGUUCUCCCCGAAAGCUAUUUAGGUAGCGCCUCGUGAAUUCAUCUCCGGGGGUAGAGCACUGUUUCGGCUAGGGGGCCAUCCCGGCUUACCAACCCGAUGCAAACUGCGAAUACCGGAGAAUGUUAUCACGGGAGACACACGGCGGGUGCUAACGUCCGUCGUGAAGAGGGAAACAACCCAGACCGCCAGCUAAGGUCCCAAAGUCAUGGUUAAGUGGGAAACGAUGUGGGAAGGCCCAGACAGCCAGGAUGUUGGCUUAGAAGCAGCCAUCAUUUAAAGAAAGCGUAAUAGCUCACUGGUCGAGUCGGCCUGCGCGGAAGAUGUAACGGGGCUAAACCAUGCACCGAAGCUGCGGCAGCGACACUGUGUGUUGUUGGGUAGGGGAGCGUUCUGUAAGCCUGUGAAGGUGUGUCGUGAGGCAUGCUGGAGGUAU
rnacentral:rRNA from 1 species